rnacentral:ribozyme from 1 species
AGGGGGAUACGGGCAGAGAGAAAGGAGCGAGGAGGUAGGCGGGUGAGAGAAGAGAUGCUACGCAUCUUUGCCUGACUCUUCUUGCAUUUAGGCAUCCUCUCCUCUCUUUGCUUCCCGAAUCCCUAUUCCC